UGGGGAAUUUUGGACAAUGGGCGAAAGCCUGAUCCAGCAAUGCCGCGUGUGUGAAGAAGGCCUUCGGGUUGUAAAGCACUUUUGUCCGGAAAGAAAUCCUUGGCUCUAAUACAGUCGGGGGAUGACGGUACCGGAAGAAUAAGCACCGGCUAACUACGUGCCAGCAGCCGCGGUAAUACGUAGGGUGCAAGCGUUAAUCGGAAUUACUGGGCGUAAAGCGUGCGCAGGCGGUUUGCUAAGACCGAUGUGAAAUCCCCGGGCUCAACCUGGGAACUGCAUUGGUGACUGGCAGGCUAGAGUAUGGCAGAGGGGGGUAGAAUUCCACGUGUAGCAGUGAAAUGCGUAGAGAUGUGGAGGAAUACCGAUGGCGAAGGCAGCCCCCUGGGCCAAUACUGACGCUCAUGCACGAAAGCGUGGGGAGCAAACAGGAUUAGAUACCCUGGUAGUCCACGCCCUAAAACGAUGUCAACUAGUUGUUGGGGAUUCAUUUCCUUAGUAACGUAGCUAACGCGUGAAGUUGACCGCCUGGGGAGUACGGUCGCAAGAUUAAAACUUAAAGGAAUUGACGGGG
rnacentral:rRNA from 1 species